rnacentral:rRNA from 1 species
UACGUAGGUGGCAAGCGUUGUUCGGAAUUACUGGGCGUAAAGGGCUCGUAGGUGGCCAACUAAGUCAGACGUGAAAUCCCUCGGCUUAACCGGGGAACUGCGUCUGAUACUGGAUGGCUUGAGAUUGGGAGAGGGACGCGGAAUUCCAGGUGUAGCGGUGAAAUGCGUAGAUAUCUGGAGGAACACCGGUGGCGAAGGCGGCGUCCUGGACCAACACUGACACUGAGGAGCGAAAGCCAGGGGAGCAAACGGG